rnacentral:rRNA from 1 species
AGUGAACGCUGGCGGUAGGCCUAACACAUGCAAGUCGAACGGCAGCACAGUAAGAGCUUGCUCUUACGGGUGGCGAGUGGCGGACGGGUGAGGAAUACAUCGGAAUCUACUUUUUCGUGGGGGAUAACGUAGGGAAACUUACGCUAAUACCGCAUACGACCUACGGGUGAAAGCAGGGGAUCUUCGGACCUUGCGCGAUUGAAUGAGCCGAUGUCGGAUUAGCUAGUUGGCGGGGUAAAGGCCCACCAAGGCGACGAUCCGUAGCUGGUCUGAGAGGAUGAUCAGCCACACUGGAACUGAGACACGGUCCAGACUCCUACGGGAAGCAGCAGUGGGGAAUAUUGGACAAUUGGCGCAAGCCUGAUCCAGCCAUACCGCGUGGGGGAAGAAGGCCUUCCGGGUGGAAAGCCCUUUUGUUGGGAAAGAAAAGCAGCAGGUUAAUACCCCGCUGUUCUGACGGUACCCAAAGAAUAAGCACCGGCUAACUUCGUG